rnacentral:lncRNA from 1 species
AUUCUUGGAGCUCUGGGCUGUGAAUGCUGCAGCAGCUCCACCACAGCCUUUGUUCCAAUUUUGAAUAAUAGACAAAGAUAGGGAUAGAGAAAAUAGGAAAGGGCAAAGAAGAAGUUUGUUGUCCAGAAUCUUAUGAAGACUUUGUGUGUGCAGAGAUCUUCCUUUUUUCUUCUGAGCCAUUUAAAAUCCAUUAAGCCAAGACAUCAAGAUCUAAAAUUCCUUUGUUCCAGUGGAUCAAGGAGAUGUGAGGAUGCCUGGGAAUUCAGAUCAAGCUGAGGAAGUCUGAAGAGCAUAAUUUUGUACAUGUCCUCAGCUCAGGCUCUCCCAGCACUGCUCCUGCUCCAUCCUGGCUGGGUUUCAUGUUUAGAGUACGAAGAAGGACAUCUUGUAAAGGCACCUUUUCAUCUGUGGACAGACCAUAAAAAUCCUCUCAGAAGGGGACUCAGGAAUUUAGAGAGAAAAAAUGAACGCGCUUGGAAAAAGCGAGACGAAUUUGGGAAUCUCUCUGUUCCCACAGACCUCUGUUCACUGAGCAGAUGCAGCCAAGAUGAGCUUGGAGCAGCAGUGAAAGUGCUGGCUCAUUACCCAGGUGCCUCUUAA